rnacentral:rRNA from 1 species
CUCCUUUGACGUUAGCGGCGGACGGGUGAGUAACACGUGGGUAACCUACCUAUAAGACUGGGAUAACUUCGGGAAACCGGAGCUAAUACCGGAUAAUAUUUCGAACCGCAUGGUUCGAUAGUGAAAGGUGGUUUUGCUAUCACUUAUAGAUGGACCCGCGCCGUAUUAGCUAGUUGGUAAGGUAACGGCUUACCAAGGCGACGAUACGUAGCCGACCUGAGAGGGUGAUCGGCCACACUGGAACUGAGACACGGUCCAGACUCCUACGGGAGGCAGCAGGC